rnacentral:piRNA from 1 species
UUCCGAUUGUAAGAUGGCAGCCUCCGC